rnacentral:misc_RNA from 1 species
CACAAUACAAUAUGAAGGCUGUCCGCAGCUGGAGUAUUUUAUUACCCGUGUGUUUUGCGCACUUGUUGUUUAUGGGCGGGUUCGCUGGCCCGGAGGACCCCCAAAU